UACGGAGGUGCAAGCGUUACUCGGAAUCACUGGGCGUAAGAGCGUGUAGGCGGAUAGAUAAGUCAGAAGUGAAUCCAAUAGCUUAACUAUUGAACUGCUUUUGAAACUGUCUAUCUAGAGUAUGGGAGAGGUAGAUGGAAUUUUCUGGUGUAGGGGGUAAAUCCGUAGAGAUCAGAAGGAUACCGAUUGCGAAGGCGAUCUACUGGAACAUAACUGACGCUGAGACGCGAAAGCGUGGGGAGCAAACAGG
rnacentral:rRNA from 1 species